rnacentral:rRNA from 1 species
UACGUAGGCGGUUUUUUAAGUCAGGUGUGAAAGCGUGAGGCUUAACUUCAUUAAGCACUUGAAACUGGAAGACUUGAGUGAAGGAGAGGAAAGUGGAAUUCCUAGUGUAGCGGUGAAAUGCGUAGAUAUUAGGAGGAAUACCGGUGGCGAAGGCGACUUUCUGGACUUUUACUGACGCUCAGGUACGAAAGCGUGGGGAGCAAACA